AAUCAAGCCUGGGCAAUGGCGGGUGCCCCUCCUCCAGCCUCGCUGCCGCCUUGCAGUUUGAUCUCAGACUGCUGUGCUAGCAAUCAGCGAGACUCCGUGGGCGUAGGACCCUCUGAGCCAGGUGUGGGAUAUAAUCUCGUGGUGCGCCGUUUUUUAAGCCCGUCGGAAAAGCACAGUAUUCGGGUGGGAGUGACCCGAUUUUCCAGUUUCAAACAUCUUCAAGGCAGAAACGUGUUGUAUUUGCAUGCUGUUUAGAAGGCAGUGUACUGAAUAGUACCAGUUUUUUCAGAGACAAAUAUGGUGUACUUAUUUGAAAAGAAAGGAUGAUACACAUACAUAGCCAUCCAAAAAAUCCUGCAACCAGUAGCAAAUUAUAUUACACAUUGGACACAUCCUAAAUGAUGCAAGGUUGCUAAUUCUCUCUGUUGGUAAUAUCUUUUGAUGCUGUUGUGUCCAGAAUUGAUUCAUUCCUGUGGGUUCUUGGUCUCACUGACUUCAAGAAUAAAGCUGCGGACCCUAGUGGUGAGUGUUACACUUCUUAUAGAUGGUGUUUCCGGAGUUUGUUCCUUCAGAUGUGUCCAGAGUUUCUUCCUUCCAAUGGGUUCAUGGUCUUGCUGACUUCAGGAAUGAAGCCGCAGACCUUCGCAGUGAGGUUUACAGCUCUUAAAGGUGGCGUGUCCAGAGUUGUUUGUUCCCCCUGGUGGGUUCGUGGUCUUGCUGACUUCAGGAAUGAAGCCGCAGACCCUCGCAGUGAGUGUUACAGCUCAUAAAGGUAGUGCGGACACAGAGUGAGCUGCAGCAAGAUUUACUGUGAAGAGCAAAAGAACAAAGCUUCCACAGCAUAGAAGGACACCCCAGCGGGUUCCUGCUGCUGGCUCAGGUGGCCAGUUAUUAUUCCCUUAUUUGGCCCUGCCCACAUCCUGCUGAUUGGUCCAUUUUACAGAGUACUGAUUGGUCCAUUUUACAGAGUGCUGAUUGGUGCAUUUACAAUCCUUUAGCUAGACACAGAGUGCUGAUUGCUGCAUUCUUACAGAGUGCUGAUUGGUGCAUUUACAGUCCUUUAGCUAGAUACAGAACGCUGAUUGCUGCGUUUUUUACAGAGUGCUGAUUGGUGCAUUUACAAUCCUUUAGCUAGACACAGUGCUGAUUGGUGGGUUUUUACAGAGUGCUGAUUGGUGCGUCUUUACAGAGUGCUGAUUGGUGCAUUUACAAUCCUUUAGCUAGACACAGAGUGCUGAUUGGUGCGUUUAUAAUCCUCUAGCUAGACAGAAAAGUUUUCCAAGUCCCCACCUGACCGAGAAGCCCCACUGGCUUCACCUCUCACUGUUAUACUUUGGACAUUUGUCCCCCCAAAAUCUCAUGUUGAAAUGUAACCCCUAAUGUUGGAACUGAGGCCAGACUGGAUGUGGCUGGGCCAUGGGGAUCUAUCCGUCAUGAAAGACUUAGUGCCCUCUCCACAGUAAUGAGUGAGUUUCCACUCUAUAAGUUCAUGUAAGAGCUGGUUGUUUAAAAGAACCUGGCAUCUCCCUUUUGCUCCCUCUCUCUUGCCAUGUGAUGUGCCUGCUCCCCAUUUGCCUUCUGCCAUGAUUGAAAGUUUCCUGAGGCCUCACUAGAAGCAAAUGCUGGUGCCGUACUUCUUGUACAGCCUGCAAAACUGUGAGUGAAAUAAACCUCUCAUCUUUAUAAAUUUCCCAGCCUCAGCUAUUUCUUUAUAACAACAUAAAACAGAUUAACACAGAUGCACAAUUUUUAAAAAUUUUAUAAGAAAAAAUUUGUCUCUUUUUUCUUGUGUUAUCUGUGCCUUUGGUAUCAUAUCUAAGAAAACACUGACAAAUCUAAUGUAGUAAAUCUUUUGCCCUAUAUUUUCUAGUAAGUUUUUUUUUAGUUUUAGGUCUUACGUAUAUACUUUUGAUCUAUUUUGAGUUAAUUCUUGUACAUGGCUUUAGAUAAAGAUCUAUCUCCAUUCUUUUGUAUGAGCAUAUCUGAUUUUCCCAGCACUAUUUUUUGAAAAGACCGCCUUUUCCCUAUUGCGUGGUUGGCAACCUUGCAAAAGAUUAUUUGACCAUAUAUAUGAGGCUUUAUUUCUGAGCUUUCUAUUCUAUUCCGUCUGUCUAUAUGUCUGUCUCUAUGCAGUACCACACUGUAUUGAUUACUGUGGAUUUGUAGUGAGUUAUAAAAUCUGGAAGUAUGAGUUUUCCACACUUCUUUUUCAAAAUUGAUUUGGAUAUUUGGCAUCACUUGAGAUUCCACUUGAAUUUUAGGAUUUUUUUUCUAUUUCUACAAAAAACAUCAUUGAGAUUUGUAUAGAGAUUACAUUGAAUCUAUAGAUUGCUUUGAGUAGCACUGCUAUCUUACUAAUAUUACGUCUUCUAAUUCAUGAACAUAAAAUGUGUUUUCAUUUAUGUUUUCAUUUAUUUCUUUCAGCAAUGUUUUGUAGUUUUCAUUGUGCAAGUCUUUUACCUCUUUAAGUUGUCAAAUAUUUUACAGUUUUUGAUGUUAUUGUAAAUAAAAUUGCUUAAUAAUUUCUCUUUCAGAUUGUUCAUUGUCAGCAUAUAGAAAUGCAAUUGAUUUUCACUUGUUUGUUUUGCAUCCUACUAUUUUGCCGAAUUUAUUUAUUAGUUUUCAAGUUUUUUUGUGUGUGUGGACAUGUAAGUUUAUAUACUCUGUGAAUGGUGAUAAUUUUACUUCUUCCUUUGUAAUUUGUUUGCCUUUUAUAUGUUUUUCUCGUCUGAUUGCUCUGGCUAGAAUGUCCAGUGAUAACUAUGUUGACUAAAAAUGGUAAAAGUGGUUAUCCUUGCCUGGUUCUUCAUCUUGGGGGAAAAACUUUUAGUCUUUUACUGUUGUGAUGUUUACUGCAGGUUUUUAACAUAUGCCUUUAAUUAUGUUGAGAUAUUUCAGUCUAUUCUUAUUUUGUUGAGAAUUUUUAUCAUGAAAGGAUGUUGAAUUUUCUUGAAAGCUUUUUCUGUGUCAAUUGAAAUAAUUAUGUGUUUUUUUCUUUAUUCCAUUAAUAUUGUAUAUUACAUUGAUCAAUUUUUGUAUGUUGAAUUAUCCUUGCAUUCCAGGAAUAAAUUCUACUUGCUCAUUGUGUAUAAAACUUUCAAUAUACUGCUGAAUUUGAUUUUCUGUUUUUUUGGUUGAGAAAUUUUAGGUAAAUGCUCAUAAGGAAAAUUGAUCUGUAGUUUUCUUGUAGUAAUUUCAUCUGACUGGUAUUAAGAUAAUGUUGGCCUUAUAGAAUGAGUUUGGAAGUAUUACCUCCUAUUCAAUUUUUAGAAAAGUUUGAGAUGGACUGGUUUAAUUCUUUAAAUGUUUGGUAGAAUCAUCAGUGAAACUAUCACAUCUAGGACUUUGCCUGAAAAUCUUUGAUUGUUGAUUCAAUCUCCUUACCAAUUGCAGGUAUAUUCAGAUUUCCCAUUUCCUUGUAAUUUAGUCUUGGUAGAUAUUGCACUUCUAGAAAUUUUUUGUUUCAUCUAGGCUAUCUAAUUUGUUGGUGCACAAUUGUUCAUAGUACUUUUUAAAUAAUACUUUUUAUUCCUGUAGAAUCGGUAGAAAUAUCUCCACUUUCUUUUCUGAUGUUAUUAAUAGGAUUUUGUUUUUUUCUUUGUACGUCUAGCUAAAAUUUUAUCAAUUUUCUUGGUCUUUUUAAAAAAUUACCUUUUUGUUUCAUUAAUCUUUAAAUUGAUUUUCUAUUCUCCAUUUUUAAAAUAUUUGCUCUAAUCUCUGAUUUUUUCUUUCUCCAGCUUGCUUUGGAUUUAGUUUGCUCUCCUUUUUCUAAUUCCUUAAAUUGUUAAGUUAGGUUAUUGACUUGGGAUCUGUCUUGUUUUUUAAUGUUACCAUUUAUAGCCACAGAAUUCCCCCUUAGCACUGGUUUUAGUGCAUCCAUAAAUUUUGAUAUAUUCUGUUUUUGUUUUCGUUUGUCUCCAAGAAUUUUCUAAUUACCCUUGUAAUUUCUUCUUUAUUUCAUUAAUUGUUUUAAAAUAUGUUGUUUCAUUUUUAAUAAUUUGUGAAUUUUCCAUUUUUUCUGUUAUUGACUUCUAACUUCAUCUCACUGUGGUCAUAAAAUAUCAUAUCUACAUUUUCAUCUAUUAAGACAUAAUUUCAGGCCUCACAUAUGGCCUAUUCUGGAAAAUGUUCCAUGUUUACUUGAGAAAAAUGUGUAUGCCAUUGUUCAUGGGUAGAAUGUUCUGUAUAUGUCUGUUAGAUUUAGUUGGUCUGUUGCAUUAUUUAAGUCUUCUAUUUCCUUAUUUUUGUCUGAUUGUUUUAUACUUCAGUGAGAGGAGGGUAUUGAAGUCUCCAAAUACUAUUGUUUACCUGUCUAUUUCUCUCUUCAGUUUUGUCAGUUUUUGCUUCAUGUAUUUUGAUAAUCUGUGAUUAGGCAUGUAAAUAUUUGUGAUUAGUAUAAUUGUAUUUAUUAUGAUUAUACAUAAUUAUAAUUAUAAUUAUAAUUAUUUAUUGUUGCUGUAUUGGAUCUUUUAUUAAUAUGCAAUAUUUAUCACUUGUACAUUUUUUGAUUUAAAGUUUAUUUUGUUUAUUAGUAUAGCUGAUAUACUUUGAUAUAGUAAAUAUCAAAGUUUAUUUUCGAUAUUAGUAUAGCUGCUCCUGAUCUAUUUUGUUUGCUAUUUGACUGAAAUAUCUUUUUCCAUCCUUUUUACUGUCAAUCUAUUUGUGUUUUUGGCUCUCAAAUUAGUCUCUGGUAAACAGCAUGUAGUUGGAUUAUGUGUUUUCUUUAAUCCAUUAUGCAUAUCCCUGUCUUUUGAUUAGAUAAUUUAAUACAUUUACAUUUAAAGUAAUUACUGAUAAAAAGAGACUUCUGUCAUAGCUUUCUGUUUCUAAAUAUCUUGUAGGUUUUUGGCUUUCAUUUCUUACAUUACAAAUUUUGUAUUUAUCUGAAAUUUUUGUAGUGAACUGUUUGCAUUUCUUUCUUAUUUUCCUUUUUGUAUAUUCUGUAGCUAUUUUCCUUGUUGUUACCAUAAAGAUUAUAUUUACCUGCAUAAAUUUAUGUCAGAUUAAUUCAAAUAACAUAUAAAUACUGUUUCUCUGUCCCAACCCUUUCAGUUGUUGAUAUCAUAAAAUUAUGCUUUUAGAGAUUGUGUGCCCAAAAACAAAGUAAUAAGUAUUUUAAAAGUCUUUUGAAUUAUGUAGAAAAACAUGUGGAGUUCUAAUUAAAGUUGUAUUAAUACCACCUGUUAGACAAGAAAAUAUUUUUUAAAAUGUAUAUGUUUCUUAAGUCAUGUGCAUUAAAAAAGUAGAGUUAUAAGCCUUUGUUAGAAUAACGCUAGCUUUUAUAAUUGCCAUAUAUUUCCCUUUAUUGAAACAUUUAUUUCUUUAAAUGGCUUUGAGUUAUUGCAUAGUCUUCUUUCAUUUCAUCCUCCAAGAUUCCCUUGAGAAUUCCGGGCAUUUUAAGUCUCAGAGAAAUAGACUCCCUCAGAUUUUCUUUAUCUGAGGAUGUCUAAGUGCUCCCUCAGUUUUGAAGGACAGUUUUGCCAGAUACCAAAUUCUUGUUUGACAGUUUUUGUUUUGUUUUGUUUUAUUUUGGCCCUUUUAAUAUAUAAGUCCACUGACUUCUUGGACCUGAAGUGUCUGAUGAGGAAUCUUCUGAUAAACUUCUGAUAAACUUAUUGCUGCAUUUGAUCACAGAGGUGCCAACAAAGAUGUAGGUGCUUAUUGCUUUUGCACAUCCCUCCAUUGUUAAAGCCCCUCCCUUCUGCUAACAUUACUUUCAGGAGAUUUAGAGAGCCAGUACUUUUCCCUACUUCCAUUAUUCUCUUUUAUUCUUUUUUGUGUAUGAGACAUUAAAGAUUGGGCCAUUCAGAAAGCAACUGCAUAUAUAGGAAAAAAAAAAUUAAAAGGGAAAAGUUCAGGCUCAGAAAAAAACCUGAUAAUACCUUAAGUUUAGAUGUUAGUCUGAUCCUGAGCACAGGGAAAACUUCAACAGUUAAGAAAAAUAGAAAGCAAUAAACAAAUAAACAAAAAUAACAAAAAACGGCAAACCUUAGGAAGGGGGAAAAUAUGAUUUCUAGAAAUACCAGAUUAUUUGAUUGAAAUGUCCAGUUUUCAACAAAAAAUUACAAAGCAUACCAAGAAAGAGGAAAAUACGGCCCUUUUAUGUUACAAGUCAUUUCUCUCAUGAAGCUUUCAAAUUCUCUUUUUGUGUUUGGCUUUAAAGAGUUUGUAAUGUGCCUUGUGGAUCUCUGAGUUCAUCUUACUUGAAGUUCAUUGAGCUUCUUGGGUGUUUAUAUUCAUAUAUUUUAUCAAAUUUGAGAAGUUUUCAGCCAUUAUUUUUCCAAAUAUUCUCUUUUCUUUUAUCUCUCUUUCCUUCUGGAACUACCAUAAUGCACAUGUUGAUUUGCUUAAUGGUACCCUACGAGUUUCUUAGGCUCUGUUCACUUUUCUUUAAUCUUUUUUCUUUCUGUUUCUCAGACUUGAUCAUUUCAAUUAUCCUAUCUUCAGGUUCACUGAUUCUUUAUUCUGCCUGCUGAAAUCUGUCUUUGAAUCUCCUUAGUCAAUUUUUUAUUUCAAUUAUUGUGUUUUCAGCUCUUUUUGGUCCUUUUUUUAUUUCUUUAUUGACAUUUCUAUUUUGUUAAUACAUUUUUCUCUGAUCUUUGUGGACAUAUUCCUUUGAUUCUUGAAGCAACUUUAAGACAUUUUAAAGUCAUUGUCUAGAAGAUCUACAAUCAGGUCUUUUUCAUGGCUGGUAUCGGUUGACUUAUUUUUUUCCUUUGAAUGGGCCAUAUUUCCCUCUUUCUUGAUAUGCUUUUUAAUUUUUUGUUGAAAAUGGGGCAUUUGAAUCAAAUCAUCUGAUAAUUCUGGAAAUCAUAUUUUCCCCUUCUCAAGAUUGCUAUAUUUUGUUAUUCUUUUUUGUUUAUUGUUUUCUUUUGUUCUUAAUUGUUGCAGUCUUCUCUGUGCUCAGAAUUAGACUGACUUCUAAACUUAAGGUAUUCUCAAGGUCUUUUCUGAGCCUGAAUCUUUCCCUGGACAUGCAUGAGCACUUUUAAUUUUUUCCCCUUAUAUUCAAUUGCUUUCUGAUGGCCCAAUCUUUAAUGUAUGGUGCUCUAAAAGGAAAAAAAGAGAAUAAUGAAAGUAGAGAAGAGUGCUGGCCCUUUAAAUCUCCUGGAAGUAAUGUUAGCAGAAGGGAGGGGCUUUAACAAUGGAGGGAUGUGCAAAAGCAAUGGCCACUCACACCUUUGUUGCCACCUCUGUGAUCAAAUGCAACAAUAAGCAACCACAGCACAGAUCCUUGAUAUUUGGAGAACACAUUAUUUUUUUUGCUUACCCUGGCUCCUACAACCUUUUAGUGAACUGCUCUCAGCACUCAUGCACAGCUGCCUGUCAUAAAAUUAACCACAAUUUGCUGUCCAAGUCUUUCCCUGGAAGUUACAAGCCUUCAAUAGAACCCAGAGUUACAAAAAAUUAUAUGAGACUGAUUUUUCCAGUGUAAUUAUUGUUCAGAUAUGGAGACAGAUUUUUGGUGCUUCCUACUGUGCCAUCUUCCCAGCUCCACAAUAUACAUUUACUUCUCAAAACAAUUAGAUGAGAGACAGAUAUGGAAAUUGAGGAAAAGAAGUGCUCAAUAGAUUGACCAAGAUUUCAUAUUUGGCUGUAGAGCUGGGAUUUAAAUCUAGCAGGUCUGAUUCCUGAACCCACACUCUUAACCACCAUGCUAUACAACCUCUCUCUGUGACUCUUCAUGUCCUCUGUGGCCCUCUAUGAUGAUAUACUUUACACUGUAUUAAUAAGUACUAGAAAACUGAAGUUACAUUCAUACUUUUAAUUGUAUACAUUUUAAUUGCACACUUGUAUUUUAAAAGACUGUACAAAAAUGCUUAGUGACUAUUUCAAAGUCUGGCUGUCAAGGCUAUAGGAAAUUUUCAUUCAAUUGAGCAAUGAGUCUUUCUCGUUAAGAAUAUGGAAGUUGUGAAAUCUGUUUAUUUUCUCUUUUCUUUGAAUCUUUUCAUGUGUCAGCUGUAAUGCUGUUUGAAUCAAAGACAUUUGAUUACCAUCUAUGUUCUUCCCCUAAACUGAAUGGAGAGCUUUGAGGAAGAUUGGCAGGCUUGCAUAAUGGACUAUUUUGACAUUUGCAAAGUAUUGCAACAGGAAAGAACUUACAACUCCUCUGCUCUAUGGUUGUCAAAGCACAAUUCAGUGCCAGACUUGGCAGGGGUUUCAGAGCUUUUUGCUUCACCAAGUAUUGGUUCCCUAAAAAGUCCAAGCCAUCAUCUCGUUCUAUUCUACAAAGGCAGCACCAUUGGAUAGAUAGUAUAAAAGUCUAUAAUAGUUGUUCCUCCAUGUGAAAAAGAUCCCCCUUUUUCUAAGUGCUUUUAGCAGAAAAUAAUAUAUAUAUAUAUAUAUUCAUUGGAUAGGAGAAAAAAAGGCAAUUCAGCCUUUUUGUAAUUUACCCAUCCCUCCUUAGUGGAACUAUCACUUGAUUUAGUAUGAAAGUGUUAGGGGUGAGAAGACAGGAAAAUCAUAUGAUGUAACAUUCAUUCUUCCCCAUUUUCUCAGCAGUUACACUAGUGGUGCUUCUUAAUUUUAAGACUUUUCUGCUGCUUCAUACCUGAUAACAAAUUGUAUUAUCAAAGCCUGUCACAAAAAAAUUCUGUGAAAUUUUAAAUGCCAACUCCAUAAGCUAUAUAAAGUUUUUCCAGUUUAGAUAUCAAUGUGAUAAAUUAUACUGUCAAACACUUUUUAAUACUUGAUGACAUAAAUAGCUUUGAAAAACUGAUGAUUUAGGAUUAAUUACCUCCAAGUUCUCUUGACUAGCACAAUAUUCCUAACUAGUUCAUUUUCAGAAAAAGUAUUUCUCCAAUGCAUUAGAAAAAAUUGCUCCCCACAUUCUACUCCAGGCCAUAAUAGGAAGUAGAAAAAUCCUGUAGAUCCAAAAUAAGAAAGGUUAUAAGGCAAAAUUUCUACAAACAUAUUGCCAACAUGUAUAUCUGAAUGUUGAACAAAGCCUCUUUCCUUAUAGAUGGAAGCACACUGUUCUCGCUAUUUUUGUAGAUCCACCUCAAUGAAUAACAGCAAAAUAUCUUAUCCAGAUAAAAGAUAUGUUUUCUAAAUAUUGAAUGAUGAAUGGCCUAUAGUCCAUCAUGUGUUCCCUCCUAGAGAAGGUAACCAGCCAAGGGAAAUAUUUCAUUCCUCAGAGUCUAAACAAAACGUGGAAAAAAAUCACCAUGAAUGGUGGGAAUCCAGCAGAAGACAGAGAACUGGGAGAACAACAGUGCUAGGAAACAGAAGAUUUUAAGAAAUGAAAAAAUAAGUUGGUCAUCCGACAAUGUAGUCUGAGUUAGUUGCUAGGGAUUGAAUCCAAUACAAUAGUUUAGAUCUUAAAUAUAUUUGAA
rnacentral:lncRNA from 1 species